GAAACCCUUUUCUGAAAUAUUAACGAGUCCACGUCUAUGAGAAGUUCCCCACCGACCGCUCUCAUGCCUCCGUCACGUGUAGCUAAGCUGUCUCUUUGUGUGCUUAAACUCAUUUCCGCCCAAAAUAGCAUUGACGACACACUGGGAUUGAAGAAACGGCGUCGUUUGGCUGCUAAUGAAUGAUGCCUUGGUGCUUGCUUCCGGUCAGCCUGACAUCACCAUGAGGAAGAAGACUUGGUGGUGGGUUUUCCUUAUUGGCGGUGGUGUUUCUUCCGAUGUUGCUUGCCACUGUUGGACCCCUUUAAUUGACACCUCUCCUUCUUUGCAAUGACUCUCUCAAAAUAAGGUAAUACCGACCUAACUUCAGUAUUAAAGGAGUGCAGUUCAUUUGCGUAGUAGAUUCUUCUUGGCACUCCUGGAUUCCCAUUAAACACCACUUCACCUUCAUUGUGGUCGACUCAGCCUCUUGACUUUCUCUUCAUGCCGACUCCAUGGUUGUUAUGUAUUUAAGAUGAGCUUCAAUUUAAUCGUUUCCUUACUCCUCAAGGAUCUGUCCUUUCUUCAUUCUUUCUUCAUGGGUUGAAAGCAAAAGGGGGAUACUGCCUCGUAUGUUACUAAAAAGGUUUUGCAGCAGAGUCAACUCAGGGGUUGUUGGUGACAAUCAAUUAUAUGGGUAUUACGCAUCAUCUUUAUAGUGGAAGAUUGGAGCAGGCCGCACUUGACAUAUUCGAUUGAAGGUGAGGUUGAUUCUGCAUCCUACUUUUUUCUUCUCCAACAUGGAUUAGUUGAAGGUUGAUGUUACAAAGAAUUUGAUUAAAGGUUUCCGAUUUGUGAUUAGUGUUCAUGGGGGCAGCAAGCUGAUUCUACUGGGAAUGGGCUCAAACGAACCUUCCACCACCUGGUCCCAUACCAAUGCUAUCAAUGAACACCAAUUGGAAAUGAGCAAGAUGGUUUUAGUAAAGAAGAGGUAAUAGUAAAUGGCUAAUCACAAGAAAUAGCAAUAUACUGUCAUUUACAUCAUUCAAAUAGCAGCUUACUUUCAUUUCUUUCAAUUACAAUAACGCAUUUACUUUCAAACUUCCUUCUACAAUGCUUUAAUCACAAGGAAUAACUGAAUAACCAGUUGCUUUCA